CAUCCAGCACCCAGGAAAGGGCACAACACAAACGUUGUUCAUUGUGUUCGCAUGCUCUUCACCCUGCUCCUGCCCACUCUGCUUUUCACCUGCCCCCUGAUAACCCAUUCAGUCCUGAAAGGUCCUUAGUGCCUGGAUUUUGUCAUCCAGCCCUGCAGGAUGCUCCCAUUUGCCCUGAGGAAGGCUGUCCCAGACAGAGAGGAGGAGAUGGAGGUAGAUACAAAGAUUGAUACGGAGGAGGAGAUGGAAAUAGACGGAGAAGACCCUGGAGAGGAAGAGAUGGAUGUGGAUGUGGAGGAGGAAGAAGAGAUGGACGUGUAUGUGGAUGAGGAAGAAGAGAUGGAUGUGGAUAUAGAAGAGUCCAUUGAGGACAUGGAUAUUGAUUAAAAAGGUGCGAUGGACAUCACAGAGACACCACCCUUUUGUAUAUAUGUUCUACAGUUUGUUGUUUUUCUUUAGAAUAUCGAUUGUAGGGCUAUUUUUGACUUCUGUAAAUACGUUUCCCAUAGUUUUCCUAGACACAGGCAGCAUUUUGCAAAGUUGUAGUUUCCACUUGCUCCAGGUUCCCAGGGCUGGAGGUCAGAAGUAGAUGAAGGGAUAAAAAUCCACAAUUAAGAGUGUCCAUGACAGCCAGAGAAAAAAGAAGCCCAGGAGAUCAGGAAAGAGGGAAGCACGUGCUCCAAACAACAGCAGAAAUGUAGUGAGUGCUCUGGAGGGAACAAAAGAGAGAAGGAGGCCUGAAGAAAUGAAAAAAGGUCCGCUUGGUCUUUCACAAAUGGAGAAGACAAUGGACAUUGUGCCAGGCUUCCUUUCAAACAGAAAAUUCUGGGGCAGCAUGACAGAAAAGAAGAAAAAAAAAAUCACCAGUUAGAACAGAACCAGUGUCCCACCAUCUUCCCCUCCGCUGUUAUUAAUUUUGAACAUUUAGAGGCAAACCUGGGUCUAAAGCUUGCAUCUCUCAGUUCCUGAUGCUAUUUUCUACCCUGCAGCCUUGACUCGCCCUGAUGUGACUGACUGCUGGGCAAGUGGGGCUGGGGAUGCUCAGCCUGGACAGAGGAGACACUGGGAGACCUCCCUGUGGCUGUGCAGGACUGGAAGGGUCCCACAGGAAAGAAGGGGACAGAGUGUUCAGC